AUUGAACGCUGGCGGCAGGCCUAACACAUGCAAGUCGAGCGGAUGAAGGGAGCUUGCUCCUGGAUUCAGCGGCGGACGGGUGAGUAAUGCCUAGGAAUCUGCCUGGUAGUGGGGGAUAACGUCCGGAAACGGGCGCUAAUACCGCAUACGUCCUGAGGGAGAAAGUGGGGGAUCUUCGGACCUCACGCUAUCAGAUGAGCCUAGGUCGGAUUAGCUAGUUGGUGGGGUAAAGGCCUACCAAGGCGACGAUCCGUAACUGGUCUGAGAGGAUGAUCAGUCACACUGGAAAUGAGACACGGUCCAGACUCCUAAGGGAGGCAGCAGUGGGGAAUAUUGGACAAUGGGCGAAAGCCUGAUCCAGCCAUGCCGCGUGUGUGAAGAAGGUCUUCGGAUUGUAAAGCACUUUAAGUUGGGAGGAAGGGCAGUAAGUUAAUACCUUGCUGUUUUGACGUUACCAACAGAAUAAGCACCGGCUAACUUCGUG
rnacentral:rRNA from 1 species